CCGUCUAUUAAAGCAUCUAUACAAUCAGAUAUAACA
rnacentral:sRNA from 1 species